GGAUUGUAAUUAAAUGUAUAUUUUGAGUUUUAUAGCCUUACUGCCAGGACCACCGUGCUUUUGUUCGAUUUCAGUCAAGACUGGCAUGGGCUGUGCUUGAAAACAUCGAAUGACAAGAGGCAAAGGUCUCGCAUUUUUUGACAAGCCAUCGUCUGCAAAGUUCCACAAUUACACUAAGCCAGCCCUCCAACUCUGAAUGCGGUGACAAUUAUGGGAACAGACAAUUGCCGCGUAGUCCUCAGGGAGGUAUCUGGCCAAGUGCAGGCCCCUUGAGAAAAUGUCUAAUUGCGGCAACUUAAACUCCAAAUAAGCACUUAAUUUACCAGGCAAGUGCACCAAGUUUCCACUUACGACCGCCA